rnacentral:lncRNA from 1 species
CCUCAGGGUUUUGAAGAAUGGGAGGCAUCUCUCAGCCGACCGAGAGAUGAAUCGGCUGAGCGUGAUGAUCUUUCCAUUGAGCUGCUGCACCUUUUUUUUGGUGUUCAGGUGCCGUAUGUCGAUGAUCGCCUUUAUCUUCUCGGGGUUGGCUUCGAUUCCACAUUGAGAAAUGAGGAAUCCGAGGAACUUCCUCGAAGCUACCCCGAAGGCGCACUUAGUCGGAUUUAGCUUCAUCC